rnacentral:ncRNA from 1 species
AAUAUGGCGAUGACAAAGACAAGUAACAUAAGUAAUCGUUUACAGUGAGCAAAGGAUAGUGGAAACUUUGUAAUAGAGCUUAUGCGAAUAACACUUUACCAGCCACAAUCUGAAAGAGUUUUCGAGUAGGUGCGUCGCUUUACUGGGCGUUAUCAGUAUUGAGGGACUGUUAAUCAGUAAUUCAGGUGGUACCGCGGACAUUUAACUGUUCGUCCUGACA